AGUGUGUCCCCGUGAUUAAUUCAUCGGCUAUCUAAAGUUUGAUAUUAUCCCCAUUUUCUAUGAUCCAUUUGGUUCCUUUUUGGCAGACCAUGUUUCCUUUACAGAUGUUUUUCCAGAUGUGGGAGGACGAAGGUCUCGGGUUGAAUCUGUUACUAGAAUUGGUUUUCCUUCAUGAUUGCUACGCGAUACUUGGACCCAUAAGGCCUCCUUGUUGUUAGAGUAUCUCCAAGUCAAGCUAGUGCUGAAAGCAUCGUUUUUGCAUUGGAUGUAGCCCAAAGCCUCCCUUGCUUUUUGGUAU
rnacentral:lncRNA from 1 species